rnacentral:rRNA from 1 species
UCCGUAUAUGAACCUGCGGAGGGAUCAUUA